GUUGGAGGAGUAGGUGAGAGCCAGGUCAGGCAGAUCUAGGAAAAAGUUUAAAUUUAUUCUAAUAAUAAUUGGAAGCUAUUGGACAUGAUCUGAUCUCAUCUAGGUUUUUAAAAGAUUGCCCUUGCCCACGCUGCUGUACAGAAAAUGGAUGGCAUGAGACAGGAGUGGAAGAGAGGAGAAUGUCCAAGUGAGGAAUGAUAGUGAUUGUACUGGGAAGGAUGUCAAAGAUCAUCCAGCAAUACCAACAGCACCAAACUGCUGCCCAGCUAAGGAACUUGGACUGAACUGACUGUGUGUGGGCAUCCUGCUGAAAGGCCCAUAAGAACCCAUGGACUGGAAUGAAGAAGUUGAUGAGCCUAGUGAGGACUGAAUGAUAGCUGGGUCUUGAGGCAAGGAACACUGUGGUUUUGGUGGCU
rnacentral:lncRNA from 1 species